UUACGUAGGGGGCAAGCGUUAUCCGGAAUCAUUGGGCGUAAAGAGCUCGUAGGCGGUUCAGCAAGUCGGCUGUGAAAGUUCAAGGCUCAACCUUGAAAAUGCAGUCGAUACUGCUGUGACUAGAGUCUGGUAGAGGAGAAUGGAAUUCUCGGUGUAGCGGUGGAAUGCGCAGAUAUCGAGAGGAACACCAGUAGCGAAGGCGGUUCUCUGGGCCUCGACUGACGCUGAGGAGCGAAAGCAUGGGUAGCAAACAGGAUUAGAUACCCUGGUAGUCCAUGCCGUAAACGCUGUCUACUAGCUGUUUGUGGAUUUAAUCCGUGAGUAGCGAAGCUAACGCGAUAAGUAGACCGCCUGGGGAGUACGGCCGCAAGGUUAAAACUCAAAGGAAUUGACGGGGCCCGCACAAGCGGUGGAGCAUGUGGUUUAAUUCGAAGCAACGCGCAGAACCUUACCAACCCUUGACAUCCUGUGCUAUAUUUAGAGAUAGAUAGUUCCCUU
rnacentral:rRNA from 1 species